rnacentral:rRNA from 1 species
UACGAAGGGUGCAAGCGUUACUCGGAAUUACUGGGCGUAAAGCGUGCGUAGGUGGUUCGUUAGGUCUGUGGUGAAAGCCCUGGGCUCAACCUGGGAAUGGCAUUGGAAACUGGCGACCUAGAGUGCGGUAGAGGGUAGUGGAAUUCCCGGUGUAGCAGUGAAAUGCGUAGAGAUCGGGAGGAACAUCUGUGGCGAAGGCGACUGCCUGGACCAGCACUGACACUGAGGCACGAAAGCGUGGGGAGCAAACAGG